AUAGCAUGGAAAAACUGAAUAAAAUUUAUAGUUGGAUUUGUCUGUAUCUAUGAAAUGCAUGCUUGAUUGAAUUAUUUGGGUAUGAUAACUGUAAUUGUCAAAAGUGGGAAGAGUUACCCCAGACAAGACUGUUUUGUCAAGCUAUCCUGACUACUCUAUGUCCCCACUUCUUCGGCCUAGAUUGUGGUAGUUACACAAGCUUUUCUAGGGUGACUACUGAGUAGGGGGAAACUCUUAAUAUCUUCUAGAGUUCAGUAGAAUGGAGAAAUGUUUUUCUCCAAUUGAAUUCUAGGGACUGAUUGUUAUUAUUUCUUGUAGUGAGUCAUUGUUAGUAUGCUGUUUAAAGGAUUGCCUAUGGAGACAACUUGAGUCUUAUUAACCUGUAAGUAAGUGUGGUUACUUAUAAUACAGCUGUAAAGAUCUUGGGAAGAGUGUUAACUGAGGCAGAGAUAUGAUCUCAAAGUUUGCUCCUUUUGUUGUGGGAGAUGGCAGCAACAUUCAGUUUUGGCAUGAUGUUUGAUCUGGUGAAAUAGCUCUUAAAUUAAUUUUUUAUUGCCAUGAAUCAGAAGGAGUAUAUAUGGAAUGGAUUACCGGUGGUUGACAUUGUGAUUGAUAGAUGAUUUUACUAGACAUUGAGAAUUUGUGUUACGGCUGGGACAUAACAUAAGCAAAUUUGUAGGAAUCAUCCAAAAAAAGGAAGGUUGUUCUUGACUUUUUGUUGUAGAGUUGAGAAGUGGUUCUACUCUGUGGCUAUUUUUGCUUGGUAUCAUUUGGGAAAAUUUUGAAGAGUAAUCUCUUUUAGGGAAAAAUGAUAGUAAGUUGGUUUUGAAUGUGUAAAUUAAACUGGUGAGAUGAGACAGCAGAGCAUCUUUAUUACAUGGGAUACGUAGGCACCUUUUGAUGAUAGUAAGUUGGUUUUGAAUGUGUAAAUUAAACUGGUGAGAUGAGACAGCAGAGCAUCUUUAUUACAUGGGAUACGUAGGCACCUUUUG
rnacentral:misc_RNA from 1 species